UCGGGAAUUUUGGGCAAUGGGCGAAAGCCUGACCCAGCAACGCCGCGUGAGGGAUGAAGUAUUUCGGUAUGUAAACCUCGAAAGAAUGGGAAGAAUAAAUGACGGUACCAUUUAUAAGCUCCGGCUAACUACGUGCCAGCAGCCGCGGUAAUACGUAGGGAGCAAGCGUUGUUCGGAUUUACUGGGCGUAAAGGGCGCGUAGGCGGCGCGGUAAGUCACUUGUGAAAUCUCUGAGCUUAACUCAGAACGGCCAAGUGAUACUGCUGGGCUAGAGUGCGGAAGAGGCAACCGGAAUUCUUGGUGUAGCGGUGAAAUGCGUAGAUAUCAAGAGGAACACCUGAGGCGAAGGCGGGUUGCUGAGCCGACACUGACGCUGAUGCGCGAAAGCCAGG
rnacentral:rRNA from 1 species